rnacentral:misc_RNA from 1 species
GAUGAAGAACGUAGUGAAAUGCGAUACUUGGUGUGAAUUGCAGAAUCCCGUGAACCAUCGAGUCUUUGAACGCAAGUUGCGCCCGAAGCCAUUAGGCCGAGGGCACGCCUGCCUGGGCGUCACACGUCGUUGCCCCCCCAUCUACUCCUUCGGGAUUGCGGGGGGCGGAUGAUGGCCUCCCGUGCGCCUCGUCGCGCGGUUGGCAUAAAUGCCAAGUCCUCGGCGACGCACGCCACGACAAUCGGUGGUUGCGAAACCUCGGUUGCCCGUCGUGUGCGGUCGUCGCGCAUCGAGGGCUCGAAAAAAUUGCCGGGCUCCGGCUCGGCUUUCAACGCGACCCCAGGUCAGGCGGGGUUACCCGCUGAAUUUAAGCAUGUCAAUAAGCGGAGGA